rnacentral:lncRNA from 12 species
AUGCAAAACUCCUGCCAAGUAAUCUGAAGGUAAAUUCAAGGGAUCCUAACCAGCUGCAGUGAAAAGCCCACUCCAAACUCUGCUAGAGGUUAAACCCUUGGUAAAAAACUCUUCUGCUCACCUCAAAACAACUCAUUUAACACUGUAACCCCUUCCCAGUCCCUCCCAGUAGCCCCAAACCCCAAACCAGUAUAAACCAGUAACCCCAAAUCCGCCUUUAACCCCUUCCCAGUCCCUCCCAGUAGCCCCAAACCCCAAACCAGUAUAAACCAGUAACCCCAAAUCCGCCUUUAACCCCUUCCCAGUCCCUCCCAGUAGCCCCAAACCCCAAACCAGUAUAAACCAGUAACCCCAAAUCCCCUCCCAGUCUCUCCCAAUCCAUCCCAGUCUCUCCCAGUCCAUCCCAGUCCCUCCCAGUUUGAUCCCAGUCCCCUCCCAGUCCAUCCCAGUCUCUCCCAGUCUGUCCCAUUCCCCUUCCCAGUCCCUCCCACUCCCCCCCCCCCCCCCCCCCCCCCCCCCCCCCCCCCCCCCCCAUCCCCUCCCAGUCCCUCCCAGUCCCUCCCAGUCCCUCCCAGUCCGUCCCAGUCCCACCUGUGCCACGGGCACGCCCUCCUGGCCAGGUUUGAACUGGGCGCGGUUGCAGAGCGUGAUCACCUGGCUGAGCAGUGCCCACGACUCCGAGGACUGGUCAAAGCUCUGACCUGGCUGGGUACGCUCGCUGGUGUCGGCCGCGUGCACCUGCCCGUCGAACCACAGGUGCGCCACGGCCAUGCGGUUCUGGGUGAGGGUGCCGGUCUUGUCGGAGCAGAUCACCGAGGUGGAGCCCAGCGUCUCCACCGCCUCCAGGUUCUUCACCACGCAGCUGCGGCGCGCCAGGCGCUUGGCCGUCAGCGACAGGCACACCUGCGCAGGUGAGCGGACAGGUGAGAGCACACCUGGGCAGGUGAGGGCGCAGG